AAAGAAAGGAAACCCGAAAGAAGGAACAAGCAAUGUACGCAUUCCUCAUUCCUCAGAUCUUCGUUUGUUUCCGUUUUUCUCCUCUCCCUUCUUCUCUCUGCUUGUCCCUUUUCUUU
rnacentral:ribozyme from 11 species